rnacentral:lncRNA from 1 species
CAUGAUAAAGCCCUGAGAAGAGGAAGUCCGGGCAGCUGGAGGCAGGAGCCUGCAUCUGGCAGCUCCUGUUCUGAGCCACUUGGUCCCAUGGUCCACAUCGCUCGUGGCAGACAGUGGCACACCCGGGCACACCCAAGGUGCUUCUCCUGCUGACCACCGAGUCCCCUCUCUCUCGCUGGAGAAGUAGGGUUAUGUGGAUGGAAACUGAGGGAAAGUCAGAGGACAGCAGGUGGCGCCAGGUGACCCAGACGAUGGAGACAAGUGCUUUAACGCAGCCAGGGUUACUGAAUUCACAAGAAAUUCCUGAAAACGUCUCUUGGGGUUAUGGUUCAGAGAGUAUGGAAUGAAAUUAGGAUCCAGACCCCCGCUGGGCUUGGAAGCAGUCAGGGGAAUUAGUGAGCAGACCACAGGGGACCAAGGAGGGGCAGGGAGACCAGACCUGGGAAGGCAGGGCAGGUGGCCGGGGCAGUAUGCAAGAGCGAAUGAAGGAAUAUAAAGAGGGUCCCUUCCCAGAAGCCUCACGGGGCCCUUCAACUCUGAAGGCUAACAUCUCCCACGGAAUGUUCCAGAAACUUAAAAUCGGUCACUUCCAACUCAUUUUGAGGACAAAGCCACCUUGAUAAAAGCUCUGAGAGAGUACCAGAGAGGAGACUUUCAUUUAAUCUUUUCCACAAACACAGAUGAAAAAUUCCAGACUAGAAUUAACAAACCUAAUCAGGCAAAAUAUUUUUUUUUAAAUUAUGACCAAAUUAAGUUUAUCUCAACAAUGCACAGAUGGCUUAAUAUGUGAAGAUUCUCAUGUAAUAUCAGAUUUAUCAUUUUAGUAGAUACAGAAAAAGAUGAUAAAAUUCAACAGUUAUUCAUGAUAAAAAAAAAAAAGUCUUGGCAAGCCAGGAAUGGAAGGGAACAUCCUUUUUAAAAAAAUGUCUUUAUUAGCUGCUGAUGGGCCUUUAUUUAUAUAGUUACAUGCGGUGCUGAGAAUUAAACCUGGGGCCUCACACAUGCCAGGUAAGAGCUCUGCCAAGAGCCCCAGCCCAGCCCCGGAAGGGGACAUCUUGUGUGUUAAGGAGUCACCAGGAGCGUGUGACGCUGCAGCAUCUAAGGUCCCUUCC